rnacentral:tRNA from 2 species
UCCCUGGUGGUCUAGUGGUUAGGAUUCUGCGCUUUCACUGCUGUGAACCAGGUUCAAUCCCUGGUCAGGGAA